UACAGAGGUCUCAAGCGUUGUUCGGAUUCAUUGGGCGUAAAGGGUGCGUAGGCGGCGCGGUAAGUCGGGUGUGAAAUUUCGAGGCUUAACUCCGAAACUGCAUUCGAUACUGCGGUGCUUGAGGACUGGAGAGGAGACUGGAAUUCAUGGUGUAGCAGUGAAAUGCGUAGAGAUCAUGAGGAAGACCAGUGGCGAAGGCGGGUCUCUGGACAGUUCCUGACGCUGAGGCACGAAGGCCAGGGGAGCAAACGGG
rnacentral:rRNA from 1 species